GACGAACGCUGGCGGCGUGCUUAACACAUGCAAGUCGAACGGUGAAGGAGAGCUUGCUCUUCGGAUCAGUGGCGAACGGGUGAGUAACACGUGGGCAACCUGCCCCAGACUUCGGGAUAACGCUUCGAAAGAGGUGCUAAUACCGGAUACGAACUCCUUGGGCAUCCUUGGAGUUGGAAAGUUUUUCGGUCUGGGAUGGGCCCGCGGCCUAUCAGCUUGUUGGUGAGGUCCCGACUCACCAAGGCGACGACGGGUAGCCGGCCUGAGAGGGCGACCGGCCACACUGGGACUGAGACACGGCCCAGACUCCUACGGGAGGCAGCAGUGGGGAAUAUUGCGCAAUGGGCGAAAGCCUGACGCAGCAACGCCGCGUGAGGGAUGACGGCCUUCGGGUUGUAAACCUCUUUCAGCAGGGAAGAAGCGAAAGUGACGGUACCUGCAGAAGAAGCACCGGCUAACUACGUGCCAGCCGCCGCGGUAACAC
rnacentral:rRNA from 1 species